UAAUUAAGCAGAGGAAAAUAAACUAACUAGGAUUGGUCCAGUAACGGCGAGUGAAGCGCCAAGAGCCCAGAAUGUGAAUCGUCACUUGUGUCGAAUUGUGGUCUGUAGGUCUUUCUGUUAUACAUGUGGGUGAAGUCCCCUGGAAUGGGGCAGCACAGAGGGUGACACUCCCGUACGUCCGCAGGUGCAAGGAAAGUUCCAAAGAGUCGAGUUGUUUGGGAUUGCAGCUCUAAUCAGGUGGUAAAUUCCAUCUAAGGCUAAAUACUGGUGAGAGACCGAUAGCGUACAAGUACCGUGAGGGAAAGAUGCAAAGCCGCGCGAGAGCGCUGUCAAAGAGUACCUGAAAUUGUUGAAACGGAAGCAAAGGAAACCAGUGCAAGCCACACUGCAUUUCCUCAUUUGCUUGCAUAUGAGGCGCUGCAGCUGGUGUUUUCCUGAUUGGUGGUUGGCAGUGGAUCAGUCUUAGGAUUAGCACUGUUGUCUACUGAUCAGGAUGAAAUG
rnacentral:rRNA from 1 species